rnacentral:rRNA from 1 species
GAAAGUCGAUGCCUCCUAAAUGCGUGGAAGUUCAGUAAUGAAUAACCUGCAGCCAAUCCUUCAUUGAGGAACAGUUCACAGACUAACUGGAGGCGGGUCUUUUGAGACCUAAAUUAUAGUCGGUCACCCUCUGAGAAGAGGGGUGAGAAAUGUUGUACACACCGCCCGUCGCUACUACCGAUUGAAUGGCUCAGUGAGGCUUUCGGACUGGCUCAGGGAGGUCGGCAACGACCACCCAGAGCCGGAAAGUUAGUCAAACUUGGUCAUUUAGAGG